UCUCGAUUGGUCUAGUGGUGAGGAUACCUGCUUGUCAUUACACAAUACGCAGGUGGCCGGGGUUCGAUUCCCCGAUCGAGAG
rnacentral:tRNA from 1 species